rnacentral:tRNA from 2 species
GGCUCGUUGGUCUAGGGGUAUGAUUCUCGCUUUGGGUGCGAGUGGUCCCGGGUUCAAAUCCCGGACGAGCCC